AGAGUUUGAUCAUGGCUCAGAUUGAACGCUGGCGGCAGGCCUAACACAUGCAAGUCGGACGGUAACAGGAUUAGCUUGCUAAUUGCUGACGAGUGGCGGACGGGUGAGUAAUACUUAGGGAUCUGCCUUUGUGAGGGGGAUAACCAUUGGAAACGAUGGCUAAUACCGCAUAAUGUCUACGGACCAAAGGGGGCUUUUAGCUCUCGCGCGAAGAGGAACCUAAGCGAGAUUAGCUAGUUGGUGGGGUAAAGGCUCACCAAGGCGACGAUCUCUAGCUGUUCUGAGAGGAAGAUCAGCCACACUGGGACUGAGACACGGCCCAGACUCCUACGGGAGGCAGCAGUGGGGGAUAUUGCACAAUGGGGGAAACCCUGAUGCAGCCAUGCCGCGUGUGUGAAGAAGGCCUUCGGGUUGUAAAGCACUUUCAGUCGUGAGGAAAGGUUGGUAGUUAAUACCUGCCAACUAUGACGUUAGCGACAGAAGAAGCACCGGCUAACUCCGUGCCAGCAGCCGCGGUAAUACGGAGGGUGCGAGCGUUAAUCGGAAUUACUGGGCGUAAAGCGCACGCAGGCGGUUUGUUAAGCUAGAUGUGAAAAG
rnacentral:rRNA from 1 species